UUAAGCAUAUCAAUAAGCGGAGGAAAAGAAACUAACAAGGAUUCCCCUAGUAGCGGCGAGCGAAGCGGGAAGAGCUCAAAUUUAUAAUCUGGCACCUUCGGUGUCCGAGUUGUAAUCUCUAGAAAUGUUUUCCGCGUUGGACCGCACACAAGUCUGUUGGAAUACAGCGGCAUAGUGGUGAGACCCCCGUAUAUGGUGCGGACGCCCAGCGCUUUGUGAUACAUUUUCGAAGAGUCGAGUUGUUUGGGAAUGCAGCUCAAAUUGGGUGGUAAAUUCCAUCUAAAGCUAAAUAUUGGCGAGAGACCGAUAGCGAACAAGUACCGUGAGGGAAAGAUGAAAAGCACUUUGGAAAGAGAGUUAACAGUACGUGAAAUUGUUGGAAGGGAAACGCUUGAAGUCAGACUUGCUUGCCGAGCAAUCGGUUUGCAGGCCAGCAUCAGUUUUCCGGGAUGGAUAAUGGUAGAGAGAAGGUAGCAGUUUCGGCUGUGUUAUAGCUCUCUGCUGGAUACAUCUUGGGGGACUGAGGAACGCAGUGUGCCUUUGGCGGGGGUUUCGACCUCUUCACACUUAGGAUGCUGGUGGAAUGGCUUUAAACGACCCGUCUUGAAACACGGACCAAGGAGUCUAACAUGCUUGCGAGUAUUUGGGUGUCAAACCCGGAUGCGUAAUGAAAGUGAAUGGAGGUGGGAACCGCAAGGUGCACCAUCGACCGAUCUGGAUUUUUAAUGAUGGAUUUGAGUAAGAGCACGUAUGUUGGGACCCGAAAGAUGGUGAACUAUGCCUGAAUAGGGCGAAGCCAGAGGAAACUCUGGUGGAGGCUCGUAGCGGUUCUGACGUGCAAAUCGAUCGUCAAAUUUGGGUAUAGGGGCGAAAGACUAAUCGAACCAUCUAGUAGCUGGUUCCUGCCGAAG
rnacentral:rRNA from 1 species